GACGAAGGUGGCAAGCGUUGCUCGGAAUCACUGGGCAUAAAGCGCGCGUAGGUGGCUUGAUAAGUCGGUGGUGAAAUCCCAUGGCUCAACCAUGGAACUGCCGUCGAUACUGUCAGGCUUGAGGGCGGUAGGGGAGAGUGGAACUCCUGGUGUAGCGGUGAAAUGCGCAGAUAUCAGGAAGAACACCCGUGGCGAAGGCGGCUCUCUGGGACGGUACUGACGCUGAGACGCGAAAGCGUGGGGAGCGAACAGG
rnacentral:rRNA from 1 species